AUACGGAGGGUGCAAGCGUUACUCGGAAUCACUGGUCGUAAAGCGCGCGCAGGCGGUCUUUUAAGUUGGAUGUGAAAGCCUACGGCUCAACCGUAGAACUGCAUCCAAAACUAUUAGACUAGAGUGUGGGAGAGGAAGAUGGAAUUAGUUGUGUAGGGGUAAAAUCCGUAGAGAUAACUAGGAAUAACAAAAGCGAAGGCAAUCUUCUGGAACACUACUGACGCUGAGGCGCGAAAGCGUGGGGAGCAAACAGGAUUAGAAACCCGGGUAGUCC
rnacentral:rRNA from 1 species